UACGUAGGGUGCAAGCGUUAAUCGGAAUUACUGGGCGUAAAGCGUGCGCAGGCGGUUCUUUAAGACAGAUGUGAAAUCCCCGGGCUCAACCUGGGAACUGCAUUUGUGACUGUAGAGCUGGAGUACGGCAGAGGGGGGUGGAAUUCCACGUGUAGCAGUGAAAUGCGUAGAGAUGUGGAGGAACACCGAUGGCGAAGGCAGCCCCCUGGGCUAACACUGACGCUCAUGCACGAAAGCGUGGGGAGCAAACAGG
rnacentral:rRNA from 1 species